rnacentral:rRNA from 1 species
CCCGAGCGGACGUUCGUCGCCGUUGUGCGGCACGACGGUGGAGGAUGAAGAGGAAAAGUAAACGAAUGUUUAUAAACAUCGCUUAAGAGACGUAGACGAGGACGAGGGCGAGGGCGGCGUUGGUGGGGCAGAGGGAAGAGUAAGUCGAAGCUGAAGAGGUUGCGUAGGUGGAUGGUGUAUCUUCUGGACUUUAAGCUCCCCCUACGCUGGCAAGUACCGCUGGACCAACUGGAGUGGACAUUGUGAAUGUUCUACUUGGGGUGAAAGACAUACCCUGCCCACAGCAUGGCCGUGGGCCACGGCAAGAUACUGUUGCAGUGGCCGCUCCACCGGUCGAAGGUCCGCGCCAAGUGGAAGCACUAGGUAUAGCUGCUGCUAUGAUUCUUGUUGUUCCCCCUGCCGUACUGAAAGAAAGAACGGAGAAUGGGCAGUUGAUACGGCGGUUUGAGUCCGCCCCCAUUGGAGCCGUACUACGGGAAUCCGUUGCCGUUCUCGGGUUGGCGGAAGCCCUUACUGGCCAAGUAGCGCCACCUUAAGCUGUGGAUGCUGUUGAUGACCCUGGGGUUGUGGUGGAUGCUGGUGUAACCGUAGCUGUAGUCGAGACAGUACCUGAGCCACUUGUGCUGUUAUGACCUAUCGAAGUCGGAGUUACCGUGGUACUGCCGGUGCCAGUGGAAGCUGUUGUGGUGGGCCUACGACCAUCGUCUGGACGUCAAACUACUGGUCUCAUUGUUAGAGGGCCAAGCCCAGUGGUGCGUUAAUGGGCUAGGUCAGUGGAACGAGGGCGGAGUCCACCGGUAACCCAAAAGACCUCGGUGUCCGCGGUCGAACCUCGACGUAGUCUAUGAUAGUACCAGGAAGUUGAGGAGCGAACGAGGCGGGGUGUUUCUAGUACUGUACUUCCGACGUUAAUAACCUCCCAGCGAACCUCCUCGACAUCGUAACCACCAAUACCACACCACAUAGUAACGUACAAAGUUCACCUGUACCUCGUGUUCGGUACUGGAACAUCGUGUUUGACCUCCUGGGUCUGCCAAGCUGAUGGCACUAGACCGAAGACGUUGUCUGUUGAAGAGAUUCGUUUCCCAAUAACCCUCUCCACGGAAACCUCUUCAGAUGUCCCCAUGUAGCAACUUGAGUUUUCUUAGUAUACCACCGCUCCACCGACAUUUCUUCUAGAACUUGUUCUAUUCCCCUCCUUUAGUCCUGAAGAAGUGACUCUACUUGUGGUAAUCGCUUCGCUUCGUAUCCUUAGAGCAGUUCUCAAAACUUAAAGUACACGACUUUAGUGUUUUGCUUUAGGUUUUAGAACCGACCACAACGUACUUCUUUUUCCUACUUCUCGAGAAGGAACAGAUACUCGACCACGGAUUGCCGUUAGACGUGGUGGUGGAUGUACUCUGUCUCGUCGGUUAUGUCACCGGUUGUUCCAUGGUUUAGUAGUUUCUGUAACCGAGACGGGAACAAAUGGAGGUGGUACUGACGCGGGGUGGGUAAGACGUGUCUCUGUAGUUUGGUCCGUUGUAGGAGAAUCUGUUGUUGAAGUUGCGGUUCGAACGGCUGAAGCCCGACAGUUCCUAGCCGUUGGUUCUGUUGCACUGCGAUUACUGCUGACGACAACCCUGUCUUCCCAUGUAUCUAGGUCUCACGUCCUUUCGCCCCUUUCAGUUCAAGUUGGAAUCGAGUCUGCAGAAGUCGAAGCCCUAGCAGGAGAACCUGUAGUGCACGUGCCCUUUCAGGUCCCUCGUCCAGACCCUAGACAUACAUUCUCCGUCCCACUACCUUCGAUGUCUACUGUCCGAUGUACCAACACCGCUGAGCCUGUACUCCGUCUACCUCGCACACCGAUAGGAUCCCGAGACCACAAGAGAAGGACUGUCAUCCUUCUCCGGAUGGUCAUUCCUUCGUUACCUCCAGGAGCUUGCACCACACAGCAACGGACUGGAAUUGGUGGACAACUUGUGAUGAAGCCACGGGAGGAGUUACGUUGUUCUAUGGAUGUGAUGAUCAUCGAGCCCGGGUGUUCGUGGCUGCAGUCUACUUUCGGGUAAACCACUCGCCGUACGUACU